GGUUACAGCUCAGUUGGUAGAGUGUUUGCCUAGCAUGCACAAGGUCCUGGGUUCAAUCCCCAGCACCA
rnacentral:tRNA from 1 species